CGAGUCGACCGGGCGGUCGCGUCGGCGCUCUCACGAGCGUCACCGAGGAACGUCCGGACUCCACAGAGCAGGGUGGUUGCUAACGGCAACCCGGGGUGACCCGCGGGAAAGUGCCACAGAGAAGAGACCGCCGGCUUCGUGCCGGUAAGGGUGAAACGGUGGGGUAAGAGCCCACCAGCACCCCGGGUGACCGGGGUGGCUCGGUAAACCCCACCCGGAGCAAGGCCAAGCAAGGCCCCCGCCGCGAGGCGGUGGCCGGCGCAGGCAUUCGAGGGCUGCUCGCCCGAGUCUGCGGGUAGGCCGCAAGAGCAUGCCGGCAACGGCACGCCGAGAUGGAUGACCGCCACCGGCGACCGAGAGGCCGCCGCGUACAGAAUCCGGCGUACAGGUCGACUCGUCCG
rnacentral:RNase_P_RNA from 1 species